rnacentral:rRNA from 1 species
UACAGAGGUCUCAACCGUUGUUCGGAUUCAUUGGGCGUAAAGGGUGCGUAGGCGGCGGGGUAAGUCAGGUGUGAAAUCUCGGGGCUCAACCCCGAAACUGCACUUGAUACUGCCUCGCUUGAGUACUGGAGAGGAGACUGGAAUUUACGGUGUAGCAGUGAAAUGCGUAGAUAUCGGGAGGAACACCAGUGGCGAAGGCGGCUUUCUGGCCCAUUCUUGACGCUGAGGCGCGAAAGCUAGGGUAGCAAACGGG